CACCGCGGUUAUACGAGAGGCCCAAGUUGAUAGUAUUCGGCGUAAAGAGUGGUUAAACCAGACUUGAACUAAAGCCGAACCCCCCCCAGAACUGUUAUACGCAUCCGAGGGUAAGAAGCCCCCCUACGAAAGUAGCUUUAAUAAUUUUGACCCCACGAAAGCUGUGAAA
rnacentral:rRNA from 1 species